rnacentral:rRNA from 1 species
UACGAAGGGUGCAAACGUUGCUCGGAAUCAUUGGGCAUAAAGCGCACGUAGGCGGCCUCAUAAGUCGGAUGUGAAAUCCCUCGGCUCAACUGAGGAAGUGCAUCCGAAACUGGCAGGCUUGAGUACUAAAGAGGGUCGCGGAAUUCCCGGUGUAGAGGUGAAAUUCGUAGAUAUCGGGAGGAACACCGGUGGCGAAGGCGGCGACCUGGGUAGAUACUGACGCUGAGGCACGAAGGCCAGGGAGCAACGGG